AAGUUUUCGGAUGGAAUCCAAAUUGACUGAGUGGCGGACGGGUGAGUAACGCGUGGGUAACCUGCCUCACACUGGGGGACAACAGCUGGAAACGGCUGCUAAUACCGCAUAAGCGCACAGCUUCGCAUGAAGCAGUGUGAAAAACUCCGGUGGUGUGAGAUGGACCCGCGUCUGAUUAGCUAGUUGGUAAGGUAACGGCUUACCAAGGCGACGAUCAGUAGCCGACCUGAGAGGGUGACCGGCCACAUUGGGACUGAGACACGGCCCAAACUCC
rnacentral:rRNA from 1 species